AUUAAGACUACGAAUUCUGGAGCAAAGCAAAUGAGGAUGGCUUCAAUUAACGAUAUACGUCUUAACACAACUGCAGUUUAGGAAUGGCUUUUCCAAUUAGGGCAUUCUUGUGCUUCAUUUCAAAACAAUUGAGCUUUGCUUGAAGCUUCAAGAAAAGUUAAUUUUAAAGAUUUCUUAAGACAAGGCUUGCAUCUGGAAGGAAAUAAAGGUCUCUUCUCACAAAAGCAUGCAAGAGGAAGUCCUCCCUGCACAGUAGUUCAAGGUUGUUAACUAAAGGUACAAAAUAAGUUAUACAAAGUUAAAGGUUGUUUUUAACUUUGUAUGUGGGUAGAA